UCAAACUUUCCCAACGAAAAACCACUCGCUUGGGAAUAUUUUAUUUCAAUUUAUUUAAAUGGGAGCGAGCAUAAAUUACACUGGCAUAUCGGCACAAUGCCAUCUAUAUAGAGCGUAAAGCGAGACAGCAACGGAAAAAGGAAGUUAACAAAAUAAGCCAGAUAGGAGAGAUAGAGAUAUGCCGACGAAGAAAGAAAAAACAAAACCCUAAGCCCAAUAAAGGAAAAGAUAAAUGUCGAAGCGACGACAAAUAAAGUAAGGCAGAGGCCGAAAACACAGGUGUCACCGAUAGGCAUCUCUUAAUGCCCACAGAGAGCGCCGGCGAAGACAAAGCCACGACUUUACAGGUUCGCUUCUCUUUACUUCCCCAACUCUCUGUCUCCGGUCAAUGUCAGUGUGUGUGCUGCCGUGUGGUCCGAGAAAUUCUCAUUAAGCGAAAUAUUCACAUAAUCCCGCAUUUAUUUGAUAUGCGAUAAUAAACGUAAGGGAACGUAAAAAGGAGACCAGUCGAAGAAAUAAAAAUAUAUAUAAAA